UACGGAGGGUGCGAGCGUUAAUCGGAAUUACUGGGCGUAAAGAGUGCGUAGGUGGUUAAUUAAGUUAUCUGUGAAAUCCCUGGGCUCAACCUGGGCAGGUCAGAUAAAACUGUUUAACUCGAGUAUGGGAGAGGGUAGUGGAAUUUCCGGUGUAGCGGUGAAAUGCGUAGAGAUCGGAAGGAACACCUGAGGCGAAGGCGGGUUGCUGGGCUAACACUGACGCUGAGGCGCGAAAGCUAGGGGAGCAAACAGG
rnacentral:rRNA from 1 species